UAUUAGCUUCAGCCCCCGUCUCCACCCCCCUCUCCGAUUCGAAAUCCUAGUCCUCUCUCAGGAACUUCUCCGCCUCAUCCACCGCCUCUCUAGGCUCUUCCAUAUUCCGUGCCUCCUUCCCCGUUCGGAUACCGACUCUCCACCGAUUUAAACCCCUCCCCUCCCCCUCCCCGAUCCAUCGCCAAACUGACUCUCACUCCCUCAUAGAUCCCUCUUCUCCCCCUCCUCCUCCUCCUCCUCCUCGUCCUUCGGCUUCAUCACCGACGGUCUCCUCCUCCUCCGGCCUCUCUGCCCCUCUGCCUCGCUUCUCCUCCUCUCUUUGUCCUCCUCCUCCUCUGGCCUCAUCGCCGACAGUCUCCUCCUCCUCCGACCUCUCCGCCCCUCCACCUCACUCCUCCUCCUUUCUUUGGGGUUUGAUUCGAAGGAGUUUUGCGUGUAACUAGUUCUACACCAUCGGUUGUCGAUCGUCGUCGCGCCGCUGGCGGAGGAGGCGGACUGCAUUCUGUCGGGCGAGCUUAGCCUGCUUCCUGAUCAGAUCCCAGACUCUAUUUACUUGGAUUCGGACUCUGUAUUUUAAUCAAGUGCAUGGUAGCAAUCAAGUUGAGCAGGAGUUUCCUUGUUGGGUAUAGCAGUAACUGGACAAGUCACCUUAUAUGACAAGGUUGAUUGGGAUACAGGGAUGCUGAGCUGCUGAGAUUAAAGGAAUUGUUUUAGAGAGUCAAAGUGUCAAGAGUAUCUGGUUUCCUGCAAAUUUUUGGUUGCUCAGAGAUGAGCAAACCACAUCAUUCGACCCAAUCUAAGGAUUGAGCAAUGAUAGUUGAUUGAGUUAUUCCCUGAACGGCUUUUUAAACAGGUGACAUCAUGCCUCGAUGCAGACAGUCCCAGCAGUCUGAGGCCGGUCCUUCGUCAUUCCCACAGCAGUCUGAUGCUGAUCCUUCUGAGUCACAGUCGGAUUCUCCUACUGAGGAGAAUCCUGUUAUGGAUGAAAUACAUUCCAAGAAAAGCACAGAUUAGAUGUGGACCCAUACGGGCUAGAGAUAUUUGGCACUUAUCUGAGGGUGAGAGGGUCGUCAUCCGAUGCAAUCGGAUGGGGCAGCUCGUCAACAAGUCGGCUAGAUUGUUGACGAGCUUCUUAGAUACUGUUGUACAGAAGGGUCAGCUUUGUCCUUUGAAUUAUUC